rnacentral:rRNA from 1 species
GAAUAUUGGACAAUGGGGGGACCCCUGAUCCAGCCAUGCCGCGUGUGUGAAGAAGGCCUUUUGGUUGUAAAUCACUUUAAGCGAGGAGGAGUCUACCCCAGUUAAUACCUAGAGAUAGUGGACGUUCCUCGCAUAAUAAGCACCGGCCAACUCUGUGCCAGCCGCCGCGGUAAUACAGAGGGUGCAAGCGUUAAUCGGAUUUACUGGGCGUAAAGCGCGCGUAGGUGGCCAAUUAAGUCAAAUGUGAAAUCCCCGAGCUUAACUUGGGAAUUGCAUUCGAUACUGGUUGGCUAGAGUAUGGGAGAGGAUGGUAGGAUUCCAGGUGUAGCGGUGAAAUGCGUAGAGAUCUGGAGGAAUACCGAUGGCGAAGACAGGCAUCUGGCCUAAUACUGACACUGAGGUGCGAAAGCAUGGGGAGCAAACA